GCCUAGCUUGCUAGGUGGAUUAGUGGCGCACGGGUGAGUAAUAUAUAGAUAACGUGCCUCUUAGUCUGGGAUAGCCAUUGGAAACGAUGAUUAAUACUAGAUAUUCCUUCUAACAAUAAUGUUAGUCGGGAAAGUUUUUCGCUAAGAGAUCGGUCUAUAUCCCAUCAGCUAGUUGGUAGUGUAAGAGACUACCAAGGCAAUGACGGGUAGCGGGUUUGAGAGGAUGAUCCGCCACACUGGUACUGAGACACGGACCAGACUCCUACGGGAGGCAGCAGUGAGGAAUAUUGCACAAUGGAGGAAACUCUGAUGCAGCAACGCCGCGUGGAGGAUGACGCAUUUCGGUGUGUAAACUCCUUUUAUAUGUCAAGAAAAUGACGGUAGCAUAUGAAUAAGCACCGGCUAACUCCGUGCCAGCAGCCGCGGUAAUACGGAGGGUGCAAGCGUUAUUCGGAAUCACUGGGCGUAAAGGACGCGUAGGCGGGAUGCCAAGUCUGAUGU
rnacentral:rRNA from 1 species